CGGGGAGGUAGUGACGAAAAAUAACGAUACGGGACUCAUCCGAGGCCCCGUAAUCGGAAUGAGCACAUUUUAAAUCCUUUAACGAGGACCAAUUGGAGGGCAAGUCUGGUGCCAGCAGCCGCGGUAAUUCCAGCUCCAAUAGCGUAUAUUAAAGUUGUUGCGGUUAAAAAGCUCGUAGUUGAAUCUGUGUGUCACAGUGUCGGUUCACCGCUCGCGGUGUCUAAUUGGCAUUAUGUGGUACGUCCUACCGGUGGACUUAGCUCUUCACGGGGCGGUCCUACCAGUUUCCCAUCGCGGUGCUCUUGACUGAGUGUCGAGGUGGGCCGGUACGUUUACUUUGAACAAAUUAGAGUGCUUAAAGCAGGCUACCUUCGCCUGAAUAUUCUGUGCAUGGAAUAAUGAAAUAUGACCUCGGUUCUAUUUUGUUGGUUUUCGGAACUCCGAGGUAAUGAUUAAUAGGGACAGAUGGGGGCAUUCGUAUUGCGACGUUAGAGGUGAAAUUCUUGGAUCGUCGCAAGACGGACAGAAGCGAAAGCAUUUGCCAAAAAUGUUUUCAUUAAUCAAGAACGAAAGUUAGAGGUUCGAAGGCGAUCAGAUACCGCCCUAGUUCUAACCAUAAACGAUGCCAGCUAGCGAUCCGCCGAAGUUCCUCCGAUGACUCGACGGGCAGCUUCCGGGAAACCAAAGCUUUUGGGUUCCGGGGGAAGUAUGGUUGCAAAGCUGAAACUUAAAGGAAUUGACGGAAGGGCACCACCAGGAGUGGAGCCUGCGGCUUAAUUUGACUC
rnacentral:rRNA from 1 species